rnacentral:rRNA from 1 species
AUUGAACGCUGGCGGCAUGCUUUACACAUGCAAGUCGAACGGUAACAGGCCGCAAGGUGCUGACGAGUGGCGAACGGGUGAGUAAUGCAUCGGAACGUGCCCAGUCGUGGGGGAUAACGCAGCGAAAGCUGUGCUAAUACCGCAUACGAUCUGUGGAUGAAAGCGGGGGACCGUAAGGCCUCGCGCGAUUGGAGCGGCCGAUGUCAGAUUAGGUAGUUGGUGGGGUAAAGGCUCACCAAGCCAACGAUCUGUAGCUGGUCUGAGAGGACGACCAGCCACACUGGGACGGAGACACGGCCCAGACUCCUACGGGAGGCAGCAGUGGGGAAUUUUGGACAAUGGGGGCAACCCUGAUCCAGCAAUGCCGCGUGCAGGAAGAAGGCCUUCGGGUUGUAAACUGCUUUUGUACGGAACGAAACGGUCUGGGUUAAUACCCUGGGCUAAUGACGGUACCGUAAGAAUAAGGAUCGGCUAACUUCGUGCCAGCCGCCGCAGUAACAC